rnacentral:misc_RNA from 1 species
UCUGCAUGGCAAAACUCCUGCGCAUGAGCGUGGCAGGUUGUCAUGGGGUCGCCUUUUCACUAUCCCUCCCGACUGGCGAGUAAUGUCGCCUGGCAGGGAAUUGUGUUGUCGGCUUUGUUUGUGCGGUUCUAUCCAAGCAUGGAAAUAAAAUCGGUCCCAUGAUGAGUGUUUUCUGCUUGCYCGGUUGAUAAUUUUAUUGUCUUCAGGCUAGCCGAAUUGUUGGCAAAAUUCAUGUGCUUUCCUCGGCUUUUUUGGCCAGGGCACCGCACGUGGGUGUUGUUGGCUCUUGCGGAUGCUGUGUCCACGUUAUGUUCUGUAGGCCAUUGGUCCGCAGGCUUUGAACGGUCCCUUGUACGGAUCAUUGAUCCGGUGAUCGCACGACAUGCCGGUUCUGCCGUCAUGCUGGAGCGAUGCAUGGGUUGCCUCUCUGACCGAAUGAGUAGCGAUUGUCGGCUAGUGCUGUGCGAUGGGCCUCCCUUUCGGGGUGGUUCCGGAAACAACGAGCCUACUCUCGUUUAAGACGUGC